rnacentral:rRNA from 1 species
UACGUAGGGUGCGAGCGUUAAUCGGAAUUACUGGGCGUAAAGCGUGCGCAGGCGGUUGUGCAAGACAGAUGUGAAAUCCCCGGGCUUAACCUGGGAACUGCAUUUGUGACUGCACGGCUGGAGUGCGGCAGAGGGGGAUGGAAUUCCGCGUGUAGCAGUGAAAAUGCGUAGAUAUGCGGAGGAACACCGAUGGCGAAGGCAAUCCCCUGGGCCUGCACUGACGCUCAUGCACGAAAGCGUGGGGAGCGAAACAAGG